UGGUGUGAUAGAGGUUUAGUAGAAGUGAAAGUCUGAAGGAGUUGUGAGUUAGUGGGAUUUGGUGGUUAGUGGAAGGUUAGGAUAAAUAUAAUGGGAUUUUAUUUUAUUUUUAUUUGAUUUUUAUUUUGUUUUCAAAAAUUUGGUUCUCUCUCUCCUUAAAAAUUUUUUAUGUUGGUUUUCCUUUCUCUGCGUUUUUCUGGCAAUUGACAAUUCUUUUUCCUUGCUCUCUGAUUUCUUUCAAUUUAAU
rnacentral:lncRNA from 1 species